rnacentral:lncRNA from 13 species
GCCUUGGCAGGCUGGGAGGGAGGGCAUUACUACCAUGUCUGGUUGUUAUGUAACUCUCGAAUUAACUUAGGGUCUCAUUUUCUCUUUCGGUUUCGUAUUUUGUCUUUAAAGUGAAGGCCUCAGAUCUCUUUGGUUCAUUUCUGCCUCAGCCACCUCUGGAGCCAGAAGUGAGGCUGUCACCUAGCAACCAGAGCUCUGCUGGUAGAAACAGAAGCCUCGGGCCCAGCCAAGAGAGGAAAAUCACCAGUUGGAAUAAAAAGUUUUACGUCUGAACUAGAGAGCCGCCAAAGGCACAGCAGCUAGUAGGAGGCAAUGGCCAAGGGGUCCUCCCAGAGGAACCCCAGGCUCUCGGAGGCCCAGACGCAGAGUUGGGGAGAGCUGAUGGCUUCAGCAGCAACCUCUGGGUGCUUUGCUCCCCGUCCAGAGGGGCGAUGGCAAGUGGAAUGCUUUCAACUUGGAUCCAGAAAAGAGGUUUUCACUCCCCUAUUCCACAACUCGUGCGCGAUCUGAUCUCUUCGCUCUCUGGACAUGCCUUGGCCCAACGAAUAUUACUGAGCAUGAUCAGAGCACAGGCCUUAAACAUUCUUCCGUGGUUUGGCUCACUCUUCUGCCCUCUGUUAGGAAACGAUAAGCCCCAGGUAGCCCCUGGUCCAGGGAGAACAAAGAGACACGUCGCAGACCUCAACUCAGCUGUGGCCUGAAGUAGAGCCACGCCAGCCAAAAUCCAGGCCUGUGAACAAGAAAGAUGACGUGUUUGUUGUUUUGAACCACUAAGAUUUGGGGACUAUUUGUUAGGAAGCUUUACUGCAGCACUGCCUGACUACCCACUCAUACCACUAUUUCCUUCUGCACGUGCUGGCACUUGUAUCUUCUGAGGCCCACUUGGUCAGCUUUUCCUUCAAUUCUUCAGGCUCUACCACAUUCUUCUAAGAAAUUCCUCUCUUUGCUAAAGUUACUGGGAAUGGAUUUCUGUUGCUUGGAGCUCAGAAUGCGGACUGGUAGAGUUCAUCUACCAAAUCUCUCCAGCACCCACUACGCCUCCAUCUGGAUUCAGACUUCUUCAUACAAUAGGAAUGAUUGUUUCCAGCCUUUUCCAUCUUCUGUUUGUCUUCAGGGAGCCUCUGCCGCAUCCAACUGAAACAGCCUGUGUCCCAAACAGGCUUCCCUCUUUCCUCCCUGGAGGACUUUGCACACACUUGCUCUGCUGGCAGCUUCAACUCUGCUCUCCAUCUUCAACUCUGAUGUCCUGUGAACCUUACAAACAUCGGGGGAGCCCUUCCUGAUUCUCCCCUGGACCUCCCACCUCCCGUCUCAAUCCUGGAUGUAGCUGCCCUAGUCUGGAUGGUGCUUAUCUUCCUCUACAGAGCUGCUGUCGUUUAUUCCCUUACUAGAGGAGAUGAGACCGUCACUCAGGGGAGGCGGAGAGGGCCCGAGUCUUCCCCAAGUCCACUCACCCCCGUUAAUCACUUUCCAGUGGCGUUUCCUGGGGCUUGAAUUCAAGGGUCCUGCGUUGUCUUCUUUGUAUUCAUGUCCCAAGCUCAGGGCCUGGAGCAAGGGUGUGCUCUAAAGGGUGACUGGUUAUUGGAAUGCAGGAAUCAACAAACGUCCAUCUUUUCUAGAAUCUGAGUACACAAUAGAGAUACAUUUCUGGCCAAUUGCAUGAUUCCUUUGAUCUAGAUGAAACAUAGCCAUAAUUUUUUU